CCCUUAGAUGUUCUGGGCCGCACGCGCGCUACACUGACGAAUGCAACGAGCUUAUAACCUUGGCCGAAAGGUCUGGGUAAUCUCCAAAUUUCGUCGUGAUGGGGAUAGAUUAUUGCAAUUAUUAAUCUUCAACGAGGAAUGCCUAGUAAGCGCAAGUCAUCAGCUUGCGUUGAUUACGUCCCUGCCCUUUGUACACACCGCCCGUCGCUCCUACCGAUUGAAUGGUCCGGUGAAAUCUCGGGACGGCGGCUCGGUCGCUUGCGUCCGACUGCUGAAACUUGAUUAAACCAUAUCAUUUAGAGGAAGGUGAANUCGUANCA
rnacentral:rRNA from 1 species